GAUGAACGCUGGCGGCGUGCUUAACACAUGCAAGUCGAACGGAAAGGCCCUGCUUUUGUGGGGUGCUCGAGUGGCGAACGGGUGAGUAACACGUGUGUAACCUGCCCUUGACUUUGGGGUAAGUUCAGGAAACUGGGGUUAAUAUCGGAUAGGAGCUCCUGCUGCAUGGUGGGGGUUGGAAAGUUUCGGCGGUUGGGGAUGGACUCGCGGCUUAUCAGCUUGUUGGUGGGGUAGUGGCUUACCAAGGCUGUGACGGGUAGCCGGCAUGAGAGGGUGACCGGGCACAAUGCGACUAAGAUACGGACCAGACUCCUACGGGAGGCAGCAGUGGGGAAUAUUGCACAAUGGGCGGAAGCCUGAUGCAGCAACGCCGCGUUCGGAAUGACGGCCUUCGGGUUGUAAACCGCUUUCGCCUGUGACGAAGCGUGAGUGACGGUAAUGAGUAAAGAAGCACCGGCUAACUACGUG
rnacentral:rRNA from 1 species